rnacentral:rRNA from 1 species
UACGGGGGGGGCAAGCGUUGUUCGGAAUUACUGGGCGUAAAGGGCUCGUAGGCGGCCAACUAAGUCAUACGUGAAAUCCCUCAGCUUAACUGGGGAACUGCGUGUGAUACUGGAUGGCUUGGAUUUGGGAGAGGGAUGCGGAAUUCCAGGUGUAGCGGUGAAAUGCGUAGAUAUCUGGAGGAACACCGGUGGCGAAGGCGGCAUCCUGGACCGACACUGACGCUGAGGCGCGAAAGCUAGGGGAGCAAACGGG